rnacentral:lncRNA from 1 species
CAGUAUAAGUGAGUCAAAGCGAGCCUUAGACUAAACAAAACUAGGUUUCAUCUUUUAGUGUUGGACUUGUCGAAUUUUUGUUGCAAAAUUGAAAGCAUAUUCUACUAAAAAAGUGUUCUUUCUUCUUAAUGGAGCAUGAGGUGUUUUCUAAAGGGAAGAGAGAGGUGUGUCUUAACAAAAAAAGCAAACCAAAAAAAAGGUGGGAUGUUAGAGAGGGGAGGUGUCUUCUGAGCCCUUUGGGUGACAGGC